CGCUAAUCGGAGAGGGUGCGGAAACGCGGGAGGAGAAUUCAAGUAAUGGCGCCAGCGAUAGAAGCCUGCGGAUACGGAGAAACUGCAUCUUCGCGUGACUUUGGGCGCUGUUCCUCGCGCUCUGGUCAGCGAGCACUUAAUCAGAAAGUCCACCCUCUGGAGGCAGCUAUUACAAGUGCUUCGUCUCUCUUUAUCGCCCAUCAGCACCAGCGGUUUGGCUAACUGACAUAAUGAAAUGUUAGAAAUAGAUUCUCAUUGGUGAGAUUAACAGCAUUCAAGAUAAUGCGGAUUGGCUGGGAUAUGUCAGACACUCUCCUAGCUUGCAUGAACAGGAUAUUGAGAAUCUAGCAAGCCUUGGUACCUAUAGCCAUAGGAAAUAAAACCAUACCUUUGAUCUUA